AGACUGCAAGCGUUAUUCGGAUUCACUGGGCGUAAAGGGUGCGCAGGCGGCCGCGCAAGUCGAGUGUGAAAGCCCCGAGCUUAACUUGGGAAUUGCGCUCGAAACUACGUGGCUGGAGUGUGGCAGAGGAAGGUGGAAUUCCACGUGUAGCGGUGAAAUGCGUAGAGAUGUGGAGGAACACCGAUGGCGAAGGCAGCCUUCUGGGCCAACACUGACGCUCAUGCACGAAAGCGUGGGGAGCAAACAGG
rnacentral:rRNA from 1 species